rnacentral:lncRNA from 1 species
CUCCAAAAUCUACGAGGAAGCGCACUGUCGGGUCGAACCAAACCGGAGCAAGGUUCAGGCCAUGCAGUGCUGCCUGCAUUGAAGGCAGAAGUCCCACGAGUGUUGGAUGUUCAUCGGCACACGAGAGGAGUCUUCAUUCAUGUUAGAUGUCCCUGGUCUCAAAGAUGCCUGCAGUCGAAGCAAAAGGACGAAGCCACAGAACAGUGAGAAGAGCUUCAUCAAAGUAGUUGUAACAAGACUGUGUAAAAAGCUGCAAUCGGCAGGAAGUCGGUUUACUUAUGACACAGAAGAAUGUUGACCAUGUUGAUACAUGGAGGAAAUCUGUGGUGUCCCAGGUGUUGUCAGUGGAAAUGCAAUUCGUACCAAGAUUGUUCUACAGAGGGACUUCAUCAAAAUACCAAGAUGAUCUGAAAAACUGCAUACAAUAGGACAUGAGAAGUACAUGUGUAUGUGUGCAUCGCUUCCGUGCAUUGGCCCCACAGACAGAUAUAGUAAUGACGCCGGUCCCCGACCUCCUCCGGGUUUAAUAGAAGCGCCGGUUGGCACAUGGCAGAUGAAUACGAUGGUGACUGCCAUUCGGUUUCGCAAAGCAUGACCUGUGACCUCGAUGACUCACAAGGACCGCCUAUUGCCGAUGCCUACGCCGAUGCCACCAGUCUUCCACACUCUUAUCUUUUCAUCGACCUGAAACCCCACUGCCCGGAAGAACACCGCCUUCGAUCCUGCAUUUUUCCCGAGGAAACGAGCUACGCCUACGUGCCUAAAUAGACCAGUUUUACGUCAACGGCCUCACUCGUCAUCAUGACGUGACGGUUGAAGGACAACGCUUACGCGCUGCGCAUUUUGAGUGCAGCUUCGCCCAAGAAACGAAAGGACAUUUUGAAGUGUGCCGACAAGGAACUGGUCACCUGUUUGGGUGAAUGUGCGCUGAAUGUUUUAAAAGGCCGCGUUCACCUCACCCCCAGUCAGAAGAAAAAACUCUCGCGACACAAGACUCAUCUGCGAGCUUUGGCUGACAAGAAGUCCUCUCACGCCAAACGCAAACAGCUGUUGAUUCAGAAAGGAGGAUUUCUGGGAUCCCUGCUGGCUCCAAUCCUGAGUACGCUCGGAGUGAUACUGUUCUCCAAGUGAUGAAAUACGCCCGAAAAACCAUGAUUAGCGCUCCCACGGACAGCGUGACCAGAGCCAUACAGAAUGUGCUACUCUCGCGCAACCCCACGCAGAGUAAACUGCAGAGCCUGGAGCAGGACAUGAAAAACUUUUUGGCCCGAACAGACCUUCCCGACGACGCUAAACUGUCGCUGUACCAGCAAACGCUGCAACAGUAUCUUCAAUACGAUCACGCCCGCAAAUCCGCACCCAUGUCUGUCACGAUGUCUACACCGGCGGAGGGAUCCGGCAGAGGGUCGGAGGACCAAACAUUAUCGGCUGGCACGACGGACGGAGACCAUGCUACUUUGGCCGAGAGGGACCUAACACCGCAAAUUCUCGAGAGUGUGCCUAAAACCCUGCUGCGCAAAGCCAAACUGCUUAUGAACAGCCUAAA